rnacentral:rRNA from 1 species
AUGGACCGGGUGCUCGCGCUCGACGCCGCCUACCCGCUGCCGCUGCUCCCUAGCAUGCUCGAAAAGUUUCCCAAGGCCAUCGAGCCCACGCGCUGGUUGCCGCGCUGUCGCCCCGCGCAGCCCAAGAACUCAAGGACAAGGAGCUUCGGGCGUCGUGCAGUCACAUCCGGCAACGGCUGGACCCAAGAUCUUGAGGACGAGAUGCGAGGCAUCCUCAGGGUCAUUAAGGCCAAGGAUGAGCAGGAGUUCCUGACGGUGGGCAAGCUGGUGCUCAACCUAAACAGGGGCCUCGCCGUAGCCGGUCCGGUGCUGGCCGGCACGGCGGCGUUCGCCAUAGUGUUCAUUGGCUCCGGCGAGGACGGGACGUGGGCGUCGGGCGCGGCCGUCCUUGGCGGGGCGCUGGCGGCGGCGGUGAACACGGUGGAGCACGGCGGGCAGAUGGGCAUGCUGUUCGAGCUGCUCCGCAACUGCGCCGGGUUCUACCGCAAGAUCCAGGAGGACAUCGAGGCCAACCUCGCCGAGCCCGACGUGGAGCGGAGGGAGCGCGGCGAGGUGUUUGCGACCAAGGUGGCGCUCAAGCUCGGGCGGAGCCUGUCGGACCUGAAGCAGUUCAGGAAGAUGGCCUCGCCGUCCGUUCAAGACGAGGACAUCAAGGAAUUUGCCGGGAAACUCUUCUAA